rnacentral:rRNA from 1 species
GUGGGGAAUUUUGGACAAUGGGCGCAAGCCUGAUCCAGCAAUGCCGCGUGCAGGAAGAAGGCCUUCGGGUUGUAAACUGCUUUUGUACGGAACGAAACGGUCCUGGUUAAUACCUGGGGCUAAUGACGGUACCGUAAGAAUAAGCACCGGCUAACUACGUGCCAGCAGCCGCGGUAAUACGUAGGGUGCAAGCGUUAAUCGGAAUUACUGGGCGUAAAGCGUGCGCAGGCGGUUUUGUAAGACAGGCGUGAAAUCCCCGGGCUCAACCUGGGAAUUGCGCUUGUGACUGCAGUGCUGGAGUGCGGCAGAGGGGGAUGGAAUUCCGCGUGUAGCAGUGAAAUGCGUAGAUAUGCGGAGGAACACCGAUGGCGAAGGCAAUCCCCUGGGCCUGCACUGACGCUCAUGCACGAAAGCGUGGGGAGCAAACAGGAUUAGAAACCCCGGUAGUCC